UGGAGGGGGCGGGCGUGUGUGAGAUUUACAUGUGAUGAUUUGGGAGAUCUCACUGCUUUAGAGGCUUGUGAGGCGCCACAGUGCCAACUGCUCCUGCCACUGCCUCACCGCGUUUGGCAAUGCCUGCCCCACACAGACUUUUGUUUUUUUCCAGAACUGCUUUCCAAAUGGUGACUUCUGCCCUCAGCUUCUGCUGCUGUGAUUUAUUCUGGGUGUGGGUGUGGGAUCUGCCAGGCCCUCAGCAACCUGCUGCCCUGGCUGCCCAUGCCCUGCCCAGCUCUGGACAGGCAGGCAGGGGAGCAGUGCACAUUUCCACUGCUGCUGGGGACCAUGCACGCCCUUGAGGACAGCCACAUACCCUGCAAGUGCAGCGAUCCUCCAAGCCCAGGCCCAAACAGGGGACUGGCAGCAAGAUGUUCAUGUCUUUUCCUCCCGCUCUGGGGACAGUAGUUUUUCUCCCUGGGCAAUGGGGCGUCUUCGGUGCAUUGCCCUUCCCCAACCGCUCCCCUGCUUCCCGUCAGCAAAUGCAGAAAUUACAUUCAGAUCGGUGAAUCCCGAUACCAAGGUGCUCCUCUUCCAGGAACCCUUUCCCCAAUGUGUGUGGCUGUGUGACGUCGCGGAGAGAGGCCGUGACGCCAGGCACCCGUGACAGCGGGGUGCGGGGAUGGGGGCGAGCCCCAGGAAGGACACCACGGUGGCUGAGCCCUGAGGGGCGGCGGGGGGCGGCGGGGGGCGGGGGGUCCUCGGGCCGCAGCAGGAACCUGCCCCCUCCGUCCCCACCGCUCCAGCGCCAAGCCAGUGGAGAACCGCGUACCCCUCCGCGGUGGCCUCUGCAGCCGGGGAAGACGGGAGGGCACGAGGCCAAGAUGAUGGUAGGGGGCGGGGGGAUACAAGUGGUAGCGGAAUGCAGACUCAGGUCCUUUGGGGUCACGCUUGCCGGGACAAGGACGGGGACAGAGCGGUGCCAUGGAUAGCGUGGAGUCGCGGGUGGUGCCUGCACGAGGGAUCCGCGCCGCGCACGUCCCGCCGGGCCCGCAGGCGCAGACGGCUGCUCCCGUUCACCCGCGGCGGUCAAAUAACGUCUGAAUUACAUCCUUGUAAAUAUUGA